UGAUUGCUACGGUCUCUAAAGGCAUCGCAGUCUUCUGCAGAGGGAGAAAAAAAAGUACCUCGCUGUGACUGGACAUGUGGGAGGAGGAGCCAGGGGCGACAACACCCAGGCUCUCUGAUGUGGCGCCACGCUGAGUGCUACAGUCUCCAAAGGCAUCGCAGUCUUCUGCAGAG